UACGUAGGCAGCAAGCGUUGUUCGGAAUUACUGGGCGUAAAGAGUGUGUAGGCGGUGCUCUAAGUCUGUUGUGAAAUCUCCCGGCUUAACCGGGAGGGUGCGGCGGAAACUGGAGUGCUUGAGGGUGGGAGAGGUAAGCGGAAUUCCUGGUGUAGCGGUGAAAUGCGUAGAUAUCAGGAGGAACACCUGUGGUGUAGACAGCUUACUGGACCACUUCUGACGCUGAGACGCGAAAGCGUGGGGAGCGAACCGG
rnacentral:rRNA from 1 species